AACGAACGCUGGCGGCAGGCCUAACACAUGCAAGUCGAACGAGAAGCUUGGCUUCGGCCAAGUGGAAAGUGGCAGACGGGUGAGUAACGCGUGGGAACGUACCCUUUGGUUCGGGACAACUCCGGGAAACUGGAGCUAAUACCGGAUGAGCCCUUCGGGGGAAAGAUUUAUCGCCGAAGGAUCGGCCCGCGUCUGAUUAGCUUGUUGGUGGGUAACGGCCCACCAAGGCUCCGAUCAGUAGCUGGUCUGAGAGGAUGAUCAGCCACACUGGGACUGAGACACGGCCCAGACUCCUACGGGAGGCAGCAGUGGGGAAUAUUGGACAAUGGGCGCAAGCCUGAUCCAGCCAUGCCGCGUGAGUGAUGAAGGCCCUAGGGUUGUAAAGCUCUUUCGGCGGGGACGAUAAUGACGGUACCCGCAGAAGAAGCCCCGGCUAACUUCGUG
rnacentral:rRNA from 1 species